rnacentral:rRNA from 1 species
CCUACGGGGGGCUGCAGUAGGGAAUAUUGGGCAAUGGGCGCAAGCCUGACCCAGCGACGCCGCGUGAGGGAUGAAGGUCUUCGGAUUGUAAACCUCUUUCAGUAGGGAAGAAGCGAAAGUGACGGUACCUACAAAAGAAGCACCGGCUAACUAUGUGCCAGCAGCCGCGGUAAUACAUAGGGUGCAAGCGUUGUCCGGAAUUAUUGGGCGUAAAGAGCUCGUAGGUCGUUUGUUACGUCGGAUGUGAAAACCUGAGGCUCAACCUCAGGCCUGCAUUCGAUACGGGCAAACUAGAGUUUGGUAGGGGAGACUGGAAUUCCUGGUGUAGCGGUGGAAUGCGCAGAUAUCAGGAGGAACACCAAUGGCGAAGGCAGGUCUCUGGGCCAAUACUGACACUGAGGAGCGAAAGUCUGGGGAGCGAACAGGAUUA